CGGGCUCCAGGCAGCUUGGCUGGCGGGAAGGUCCUUUGGCCUCUCUGUGUUCGAAUGCGGCCAGGGCGGCGUCCCGGGAGUCCCCACAGGAGCGGCGGGAGGAACUCUUCUGGAGCUCGGGAGCGGGCGGACGCUAGCUGACGUCUAAGAGCCCGGCUUCGAAUCCCGGCUGGGUCGGAGCGACUCCACGACCUCGGAAGACCGGUCUUGGAGCCUCAGUUUCCCCACUAGGGCGGAGGAAAGGUGGCAGCUCCCUUACUAGCCCGACUCCCGGACCAUCCACGGCUGCCCUGCACGGAGCAGACGCUCAACAAGCGUUGUUGAAUGAAAGUAUGAACUUCCGUGCACUUUGAUGUUCCAGAAUUAAUGUAUGGAUGUGUUAACGAAUACAAUGGCUUGUAGUACAUAAUACGAUAUCAUCACAACAGGAGUGGAAUGCCAGAAUCACAGGGCAGGAAAUCACGGGCACAUUCUAAGAAAUGACUGUUUUCCAAACUUCACCAGCAAUGGAUGAUAUUUCCAGUUGUUCUCCAUUCCAUCAACACGUGGUAUGGUCACUCGUUCCCACUUUACAUCUAAAAGCCAAAUGGCAUCUGACCCAAGGCUCACUCGAUGAGAGACAGAUCACAGAAAAGAACAAACAGGAGCUUCCCAUGGAGGAGGGGCCUGUAAAAACGCCUGUUGAGUGCCAAGCGGAUGACAGUAAAAAUCGGCAAGAGCCUGUCACCCGUGCGCGCUC